GCAUAACGCGAAGAACCUUACCAAGGCUUGACAUACACGAGAACACCGUAGAAAUACGGGACUCUUUGGACACUCGUGAACAGGUGGUGCAUGGUUGUCGUCAGCUCGUGUCGUGAGAUGUUGGGUUAAGUCCCGCAACGAGCGCAACCCUCGUUCUAUGUUGCCAGCACGUUAUGGUGGGAACUCAUGGGAUACUGCCGGGGUCAACUCGGAGGAAGGUGGGGAUGACGUCAAAUCAUCAUGCCCCUUAUGUCUUGGGCUUCACGCAUGCUACAAUGGCCGGUACAAUGGGCUGCAAUACCGUGAGGUGGAGCGAAUCCCAAAAAGCCGGUCCCAGUUCGGAUUGAGGUCUGCAACUCGACCUCAUGAAGUCGGAGUCGCUAGUAAUCGCAGAUCAGCAACGCUGCGGUGAAUACGUUCCCGGGUCUUGUACACACCG
rnacentral:rRNA from 1 species